rnacentral:rRNA from 1 species
AGGACGAACGCUGGCGGCGUGCUUAACACAUGCAAGUCGAGCGGAAAGGCCCUUCGGGGUACUCGAGCGGCGAACGGGUGAGUAACACGUGAGCAACCUGCCCUUAGCUCUGGGAUAGCUCCGGGAAACCGGAAUUAAUACCGGAUAUGACCUAGGCCGACAUCGGCCGUGGUGGAAAGUUUUUCGGCUAGGGAUGGACUCGCGGCCUAUCAGCUAGUUGGUGGGGUAAUGGCCUACCAAGGCGACGACGGGUAGCCGGCCUGAGAGGGCGACCGGCCACACUGGGACUGAGACACGGCCCAGACUCCUACGGGAGGCAGCAGUGGGGAAUCUUGCGCAAUGGGCGAAAGCCUGACGCAGCGACGCCGCGUGUGGGAUGAAGGCCUUCGGGUUGUAAACCCUUUCGGCAGGGACGAAGCGAAAGUGACGGUACCUGCAGAAGAAGCGCCGGCUAACUACGUGCCAGCAGCCGC